rnacentral:rRNA from 1 species
AGAGUUUGAUCCUGGCUCAGGAUGAACGCUGGCGGCGUGCCUAACACAUGCAAGUCGAGCGAAGCGAUUUUGAGGAAGUUUUCGGAUGGAAUCGAAAUUGACUUAGCGGCGGACGGGUGAGUAACACGUGGGUAAUCUGCCUUAUACAGGGGGAUAACAGUUAGAAAUGACUGCUAAUACCGCAUAAGCGCACGGGAACGCAUGUUUCUGUGUGAAAAACUCCGGCAGUAUAAGAUGAGCCCGCGUCUGAUUAGCUGGUUGGUGGGGUAACGGCCUACCAAGGCGACGAUCAGUAGCCGGCCUGAGAGGGUGAACGGCCACAUUGGGACUGAGACACGGCCCAAACUCCUACGGGAGGCAGCAGUGGGGAAUAUUGCACAAUGGGGGAAACCCUGAUGCAGCGACGCCGCGUGAGUGAAGAAGUAUUUCGGUAUGUAAGGCUCUAUCAGCAGGGAAGAAAAAAGACGGUACCUGACUAAGAAGCCCCGGCUAACUACGUG